ensembl:lncRNA
AUAGUGUCCAAACACAGACGACAUGCCUGAGGAUUAUGGAAGCAACAGCUGCUUGUUGGAGAUUAGAAGUGCAGACCUCUGAGGUCCCAUCCAACCUCACGAUCCAGUGUUAUGAGAGGAAAUAAUGGCACACACAGAUCCCUGCAGCAGGGCUGACACCAAAUGGCAUUGCACCAGCUUGUCUUGGGCACAAGAGGGGUCCUAGAACUUUCUAGGGAGAUGCUCCAAAGCAUGGCGUAUCCUGAGACAGAAGGCCCCUCUGCCUUCAGUCUGAAAUUGUCAUUCUGGAUUUCCUGAGAAGGCAUGGGAUUAAACUUGGAGCUGACGAUAAAGAAUCUCUCCGACCUUCUCUUGUGUAAUUGUUAGGUCACAGGACCCUCAUUCCAGGGCAGUCCCUGCCCCAUACCAAAGAGGGAAGAAUGCGACAUCAGAGAGACCAAGAGGAAUUUGAAUAAACAGGCCUUCCUAGGUUUGCCUGCUUGGUCUAUUAUAAUCAUCUCACACCCUUUUUUGAAAUCACGUUUCUACACAACUGUUCCUGUCUCAUUGAACCUAAGCAUAUAAUAGACAUUUUCUCCUAUGUCUUUGAGUCUUCAGUGUGAAGGCUUAUGUGUCACGUCUUUGAUUAAAUGUAUGUGUUAUGCUUUUCUCUUGUUAACCUGUCUUGCUACAAGAGUGUUUGCCAAAGCUUUUGUAUACAAGGAGGGGAAGAGGGGUUGGAGGGGAAGAUGGGAAAAAAGAAGAGGCAAGAUAUAUCAUGUACAGGUAC